UUAUCCAAGGCAACGAUACGUAAGCCGACCUGAGAGGGUGAUCGGACCACACUGGAAUCUGAGAGCACGGUACCAGACUCCUACGGGAGGCAGCAGUAGGGAAUCUUCCGCAUAUGGACGAAAGUCUGACGGAGCAACGCCGCGUGAGUGAUGAAGGUUUUCGGAUCUGUAAAACUCUGUUAUAGGGAAGACACAGA
rnacentral:rRNA from 1 species